GACGAACGCUGGCGGCGUGCUUAACACAUGCAAGUCGAGCGGUAAGGCCCUUUCGGGGGUACACAAGCGGCGAACGGGUGAGUAACACGUGGGUGACCUGCCCUCAGCUCUGGGAUAAGCCUGGGAAACCGGGUCUAAUACCGGAUAUGACUCCAUGACGCAUGUUGUGGGGUGGAAAGCCUUGUGCGGCUGAGGAUGGGCCCGCGGCCUAUCAGCUUGUUGGUGGGGUGAUGGCCUACCAAGGCGACGACGGGUAGCCGGCCUGAGAGGGCGACCGGCCACACUGGGACUGAGACACGGCCCAGACUCCUACGGGAGGCAGCAGUGGGGAAUCUUGCGCAAUGGGCGAAAGCCUGACGCAGCGACGCCGCGUGA
rnacentral:rRNA from 1 species